UAUCCUCAAUUACUGCUAAUGCCUUUGAUUUUCUUAUACUUGUGCCCUUACCGCUGCCAGCCUUCUUUUUUUGUCCAUGUAUAUGUAGGGAGAAAAAAUAGACGUUGAUGAGGGAGUUAAAUUUUUUUUAUUUUAAUAUGGAUUUUAUUAAUCAAUCAAAUUAAAAUAAUAUUACAUGUAUUGGGCCAAAACAAUCCAAAUAAAAUAAAUCUGUGGAUCCGUUGUUAUGGCCCAAACCCAUUUCUUCAUCCAAUUAAAAUAAACAGAAGGGUUUCCUAAUUCAUUUUGUACUUUCGAAUUCUGUCUAAAGGUCUCAAAUUCAAGAGAAUAUUGAUAGCGGUUAAUAUGCUGAUUCGUCCAUUUGAGGAGCUUUCAUUGUGGAUUUUCAAUUAUUUGCCUGGUUCUGUCUCUUGUAACUUGAUUCCCCUGUAAGAUUCCCCAUUGAGCUGCUUUGGAAUUUCAGUUCUUGAUGAUUGGAGAACGUUUGAAGGUAUAAUCACCGGUGGGAUAGACCCACCGGACGUUGAGGCCAUAGCAGCUUAGAAACUGCAGCUGAGAUUUCUAGAGAAAAAGGAGAGAGAAAUUUUAGAGAGAGAAUAUUUGAGGGAGUUAAAAAUAGACACGAAAUAUCUUUUCAUUUAAAAGAAUGAUAAAAAGAAUGAUAAGAAGCCUUAUCUUGGGAAAAUAAUAUUCUUUACUGUAAUAAAAAAUAUUUGAUUUCUUCCAAAGAUUUUAUGGA